AUCUUUGAUUUUUGUCUGUUUACAAUAUUAUUCUGUACAAGUCCGCAAACAAUUGCUGAUUAUUAAAUUAAUAUUAACUUUCGAACUUCAAUUUUUUUAAAAAUAUAUUCUAUUAUAAUUGCUUGAAGUCUAUCAAUGGUAAAAAUAGUUUGCAACCGUCCAAUAAUUGAAGAAUGUGUGUGUAAAAUUUAAAGUGGAUAUUCCCAUAGGGUUCCUUACAGCUAAGUUUUGAAAAUGAAAUACUGUAAGCCUAUAAUAUAUAAUAUUAUCAUCAUUGGAGAUUAUAACCAUUCAAUUGGAAUAGUAACUUGAGAUUUUAUGUUCAAACAAUAUUGCUACAAUAUUCAUUGUAUUUGAAACGGAAGAAGCUGAUUCAAAUAUUUAUGCAACAUACAAGUGUAUUGAAAUGUUGGAAGCAGAAUGACCGCGCAGAGGAAUCUCACUGCUUUGAGAGAAGACCUCGACGACUUGAGAAGACUUGAGGAAGAAUGUUACUGCUCAUCUCCAAUCUGCAGCCUUGGAUUACUUCACAACUUGAUGCAUUCAUUAUACACCACCAAACUGAGUGCACUUCAGGUUAGUUUAUGAUUUUUACAAUAUUUUUGUCAAUUUUUGGUUGAUUGAAUUGUGUGAUGUUUGAUUGUGCACUUUGCGUUGCUGCUUGCCUAUUAUAGAAUGCAUCCUGCGAUUAACCAUGUUCUUGAGCUGGUCACUAACGACAGGACAUGCAUGAUAAGCAUGUGUGUGUACAUGCAUGUUUGUCAGGGACAAACACAUGUUUAAUCAUGCAUGUCCUGUCGUUAGUGGCCAGCCUUAAACUUAUACUUGCGCUCUACCUUCGCUCUCUAGGAAAAAUAAAGGCAGUAAUAAUUCUAUUCUAUACUCUGAUAAGAGUCUUUGGAAAGCUUUUAAAAAUAAACAGAUUCAACCGGUAAAAAUAUGAGUGAAUUUGAACUGAGCCUCGAUGGUUCUAUUAGCGCCGUCAGUCGGUGUUAUUAUAGUUUCAAUGAUCUACGAUUCAUUCCCAAAUUUUCUCACUUGAUAAGGCUUU
rnacentral:lncRNA from 1 species